rnacentral:rRNA from 1 species
AUUGAACGCUGGCGGCAGGCCUAACACAUGCAAGUCGAGCGGAUGAAGGGAGCUUGUUCCUGGAUGCAGCGGCGGACGGGUGAGUAAUGCCUAGGAAUCUGCCCGGCAGAGGGGGAUAACGUCCGGAAACGGGCGCGAAUACCGCAUACGUCCAGAGGGAGAAAGGGGGGGAUCUUCGGACCUCACGCGAUUAGAUGAGCCUAGGUCGGAUUAGCUAGUUGGUGGGGUAAAGGCCUACCAAGGCGACGAUCCGUAACUGGGCUGAGAGGAUGAUCAGUCACACUGGAACUGAGACACGGUCCAGACUCCUACGGGAGGCAGCAGUAGGGAAUAUUGCACAAUGGGCGAAAGCCUGAUCCAGCCACGCCGCGUGUGUGAUGAAGGUCUUCGGAUUGUAAAGCACUUUUAGUUGGGAAGAAGAACAGUGUAUUAAUACCUUGCUGUUUUGACGUUACCGACAGAGUAAGCCCCGGCUAACUUCGUG